rnacentral:rRNA from 1 species
UCGAACGAGCUAUUAGGAGACCCUUCGGGGCUGUUCAGUGGCGGACGGGUGAGUAACACGUGAGCACCUGCCUCUCAGAGGGGGAUAACGUUUGGAAACGAACGCUAAUACCGCAUGACGCCGCAUGGUCAAAGGAGCAUCGCUGAGAGAUGGGCUCGCGUCCGAUUAGAUAGUUGGCGGGAUAACAGCCCACCAAGUCGACGAUCGGUAGCCGGACUGAAGGUUGAUCGGCCACAUUGGGACUGAGACACGGCCCAGACUCCUACGGGAGGCAGCAGUGGGGGAUAUUGCACAAUGGGGGAAACCCUGAUGCAGCAACGCCGCGUGAGUGAAGAAGUAUUUCGGUAUGUAAAGCUCUAUCAGCAGGGAAGAAAAGACGGUACCUGACUAAGAAGCCCCGGCUAACUACGUGCCAGCAGCCGCGGUAAUACGUAGGGGGCAAGCGUUAUCCGGAUUUACUGGGUGUAAAGGGAGCGUAGACGGCGAGACAAGUCUGAAGUGAAAGCCCGGGGCUCAACCCCCGGACUGCUUUGGAAACUGCCUUGCUAGAGUGUCGGAGAGGUAAGUGGAAUUCCUAGUGUAGCGGUGAAAUGCGUAGAUAUUAGGAGGAACACCAGUGGCGAAGGCGGCUUACUGGACGAUAACUGACGUU